rnacentral:lncRNA from 1 species
AGACACUUAAAGGUUACAGCCUGGUCUUUCUUAUUUGAGUUAGUUUCCAAUGACUGCUGAACAGAUUCACAAACUUGUCUUAACACAACAGAAAUUUGUUAUCUCGCAGUGCUGGAGGCCAAAAGCUAAAAUCAAGAUGUCGGCAGGACUGUGCUUAUUACAACGGCUUGGGGAGAAUCCUUCUUUCUGUCUCCCGCUUUAGGCCCCUGUGUUCUUGGCUUGUGGCAGCAUCACUCUACGCUGUCUGUCUCCACGUGGCCUUGCCUCCGUGCCUGUUUUCCCUCUUCUUCUCCUAUGUGAACACCGUCACUGGAAUUAGAGUGCACCCUGGUAAUCUAGGAUGAUCUCAUCUUGAGAUGCUUAAUUUCAUUACUUUGCAAGGAUCCUAUUUCCAAAGGUCACACUCACAGAUUCCAGUCGGACAUGAUUUUUUUUGAGGCAGGUCCAUUCAACGUGCUAUCAUUGUGGUGUGGGAAAUUCAAGACAGAAACUGCACCACCUUGGAGACAAACUGGACUAGUGGAGAGCAGUGUUCCUUCCCCUACAGCCAGAGCUGGGGGAACAACUCGGCACAGUGGAGGUCUCACAAGGCACCAGGAGUAAAGCAAUAGGCAAGGCUAUGACAGCACACCCGAAUCCCAGGACCCGGGGAUAAGUCGUAUCUUAGGAAUAUCUGCCCAUGAAGGCAGUGGGCCGCAGGAUCCCACUUUGAGGUGCCAGUGCUGAUUGUCAUUCCUUCCAAGAUGGUAAACCAUUAGGACAUCUGGAUCCCUCCCUAAGAUCAACCCUGGAGGAGCUGCAGAGGAGAAACAGGGCACAAGAGGACCAGAGAGGGCUGUGGGGAGCGGGGAAGAAGAAAACGAACCGUUAAAGUUCUGUUGCUCCCUCUCCCCCAGCAUCCUCCUGGGACAUACAGCGAUGGCCCCCACACCUGGAAGGACUCAAGCUCUGAAUCCAGCACCUUCAGGAAGCAAGUGAUGGCAUCCCAGAGGCCCUAUGCUUGAGACAGACUGACGAAAACAGGUGGAUCUAGGUAAAAUCAGUCUCUGCUACCCUCCUCAUCUAAACCCUCAGUGCAGGGCCACCUUGGAAGCCAUGUGUUAACACUGAGUGAUCCUCCUCAGCCAAGUCCCUAAUGCAUGGAAAAGAACCUCCUGACCCAGUCCCCAAAGGCUGGACUUUUCCUUUGCAAGAAAUAAGGAGGGUAAAGUUCACCAUAAAUAACAAAGUCAUGGAGUCAAGCUGUCACAAUUGGCCACCGUUCCUAAGGCAUUUGAAUUGUAUGCAUUGACAGGAAAAAGCAGGAAGGAGUGAAGACAGAACAAGGGGAGAAUGUAACCUGAGUUGGAAGGUGUAAUAUUUAAAUGUAUUUGCAAACCUGUUUUGGGCCAAAAGGGGUAGGAGGAAGAGAAGACGCAUUUGCUGAGAUCUAUUAUAUGCCAAUUGGAGGACUACAGAUUUCACAAUUCACAUCUGUUGUCUUAUUUCUUUCUCAUAAUCCCAAAGAUAAUUCUAAAGUUACACAUUAUCAUCUCCAUUUACAAUUAAGAACUGAUGCUCCAAGAAGAAAGAUCUCACAGUGUGUAGGCAACAGACCUAAGAUUCAAACCUAUAUUGGUGGGUGUUAAUGUCCUUGUUCUUUCUGAUGUAAGCAUGUAACAUUUCCACAUCUCUGAUUCCAUGCUCAAGGUGGGCCAAGCCAUGCUGCUUGUAAGACAGGGUGCCUGUGAUGACACAAGUCAUUAAUGCAAGUGUUAAGUGCCAUGCAAGCACAGAAGCCACUUAAAAUGGGUUUUCGGAAAUGAAAGCUGGGCUCAAACAGAGCCCACUUUCAAGGGGGCCUGGUUUAAGUGGCCAAACUCUCAAGAAGAAAGGCAUUAAAGGAAGAGCCUUUCUGCUGGGCUGGCAAAACUUUAGGUUCAUGAAUUCAGGAGGAGACUGAGGAGGAGAAAACAGGGUUUUAGAAUGCAGCCUCAGGAGCUGCCUGCACCUCUCAGGCCAGGAGGUUGGCUUUUCCAAUUGUGCGAUUAAGCUAUUCUACCCAGCCCCACCUCUCAUUUUCAAUUAAUCUGCACUAAUGAAUUCAACAACCAAAAUGCAUUUGCUAAUUGAGGUGCUUGCUGGCCAGGUCAUCCGCGCUCCCUUGUCUAACAGCUGGUACUCCCCACUGUGCCACGGUAAAGUAGGGUAGUAGAGGCCUCUGCUCCCCUCAUCCCCUGCUGCCCCUGAGGGGAAUACCCAGUGGGCAAGAAAAGGCCCAGCCUGGGAGAGAAUGCUCAUAAUAUAUUACUAAGUCACAGACAGAAAUUGCUCCUCCGGGCAGUCUUUCACUUUUUGUUUCUAAGUGAAAGCUCAUGACCAUCCCAGCCAUAUUAUCUCCCUGGCCCUUGGAAGCUGUUAUGUAAUGGAAAGGGCAUUAAACUCAGGCCAGGAAAUUCUUGAUACAGAACCCAGACUGUUGUUGAUAACUGGGUUGACUUUGGAAAGUGACUGCCUCCCUCCCUCUCG